CAAAAAAUAGCUUAAUUUAAAGUAUUUUAGUUACAUUAAAAAGAUAUUGAAAAAUUUUUUUGA
rnacentral:tRNA from 3 species